GGCUGGUGAACAGCAGGGGCGGAGCUACCACCGGUCCCCUUUUUGUCAGCAUGGGAGGAAGUCCUCCCAAGAAGACAAGAGCAGCAGAAGGCAGAGAGGAGGGGGGCUGGGCAGGACCAGCUCCUCCAACUCCCAACUACCUCAGGCAGCACUUUGGAUCCCAGGUAAGCCCCCCUUCUGAACCUGUUGGUCAGUGUGUCUGUGUGUAUCUAUGUCUGUCACUGUGUGUAUCUAUGUCUGUCAGUGUGUGUGUAUAUGUCUGUCAGUGUGUGUGUGUGUAUCUAUGUCUGUCAGUGUGUGUGUGUGUAUGUCUGUCAGUGUGUGUGUGUGUGUAUGUCUGUCAGUGUGUGUGUGUAUGUAUAUGUCUCUGUCCGUGUGUCUGUGUGUAUCUAAAUGUCUGUUAGUGUGUGUGUCUGUCUGUUAGUGUGUCUUUGUGUGUCUUCUUCCCUAUCAUUGUGUAUGUGUGUCUGUAUGUCACUGUGUGUUUAUCUGUAUGUCUGUCAGUGUUUGUGUGUAUCUGUGUGUCUAUCUGAAUGUGUAUCAGUUUGUGUAUAUGUAUAUCUGCAUGUGUCAGUGUGUGUAUCUUUGUGUAUGUGUAUCACAGUGUGUGCGUGUGUGGCAGUGUAUGUGUAUAUGUGCAUAUAUCUCAGCAUUCAAACACCAACACUACACACAAAUAAACACCUGCAUGCAAACAUCAACACUACAUACAAACACACCCCUGCAUUCAAAUGUCAACACUACAUACAAACACACCUCUGUAUCGGACACCAAAAUUAUAUAUAAACACACACCUGCGUUCAAAAACCAACACUACACAUAAAUGCAUGCUUGCAUUCAAAUGCAAACACUACAUACAAAC